GGCAGUUCUCAGGUGACACACCCUGGAAUCGGGCUCCCUCCUCUCUGGUUCUGGGUGCAUCACUUGAGAACCGCA
rfam:Myotis brandtii contig150988, whole genome shotgun sequence.